GAAAUGCGAUAAGUAAUGUGAAUUGCAGAAUUCCGUGAAUCAUCGAAUCUUUGAACGCACAUUGCGCCCUCUGGUAUUCCGGGGGGCAUGCCUGUCCGAGUGUCAUUGCGAACCCCUCAAGCACGGCUUGUGUGAUGGGCCCUCCCGCGUCUUGGUCGUCAAGACGGGCCCGAAAAGCAGUGGCGGCUUCGCGGUUAUCCGAUCAGCCAGAGCGUAUGGGGACUUUCUCUCUGUCACACGCCCGCGGCGCGGACCGACGCCUGUCGACCUUUAUUCAUCUUUUUCUCGGUUGACCUCGGAUCAGGUAGGGAUACCUGCUGAACUUAAGC
rnacentral:misc_RNA from 1 species